CGAUCACGUUCAGAGUUUGAUCCUGGCUCAGGAUGAAUGCUGCGGCGUGCCUAAUACAUGCAAGUCGAGCGGUAACAGGGAUUCACCGUGUUCUUGACGCACUUGGCCAUAGAGCAAGUAGCUGACUUCGAGAGCACAGUGAAUCUGCUGACGAGCGGCGGACGGCUGAGUAACGCGUGGGAACGGACCCCAAACUGAGGGAUAACUAGUCGAAAGAUUAGCUAAUACCGCAUAUGAUCUUCGGAUUAAAGCUUUCGAGUGGUUUGGGACUGGCCUGCGUACGAUUAGAUAGUUGGCGGGGUAAUAGCCCACCAAGUCGACGAUCGUUAGAUGGUUUGAGAAGAUGAUCAUCCAGACUGGGACUGAGACACGGCCCAG
rnacentral:rRNA from 1 species